rnacentral:lncRNA from 1 species
UACUUAUGAAUAAACCUUUUUAAUUUGUUUGAAAAUGUAGAUGGUACGAUACUGAAUAGGACCUUGCUACAUGUACAUAAAGAUUUAUACACUCUAUUAUUUGUCAGUUUCAAACACAAUCAACUUUUUUAUUUAAUCUUUUCCCUCCACAUUAUUUUUGGUAACCGCUUCGGAUUCAAGCUUACCCUCCAUCCUUGCUUUACAUCUUCUUGUCCAUAACCUCCAAGUAAUCAAACUUGGAAGCAAACCAAUCAAGCAUCCAAUCUGUGAAGAUCUUCUUGCUGUUGUCUACCAUAAAUUGAUUCUUUCCACCCAAUUUUGUCCUGCCCUCCAGCACUCACCCACCAAGGCAGCAACUUUUCUCCACACCUUGUCUUCAAAGUCUCGAGCUUGGAACGUGUGAAGCAUUUUCCCCAUGAUCUAUAGAGCAAGAAUCACAUUUGGAUGCAAGAUUAAUAAUGCCCACUGACUUGAUGUGUUCUUCAACACAAAAACUCCCAUUUAGGGCUUUCCACAUCAACACAGAAAUACAUUUAGGUAGAGCAUCAUUCCACACCUAGGCCGCCCUCGCAAGUUGCUCAACUCGCACCGUCACCACCUCCUAAGCAAAUUUUGCAAUAAAUAACCAAGUUUAUGUGGUUUCCAAAUCAACAAAUCAGUUCCCAUUUUUCAAGUUCCAACCUGAGAUACAAGUUCAUUAGCCAAAGUGACACCAACAAGGUCUCUCAGCCAAACCAUAUCCCAUCCAUUUUGUAAACAAAUUCAUUAAUUUUCAGCUUUGGUUCUACAACGUGGGCUCCUUGUGCACAUAGAUGGCCCCCUCUAUCCAUUUGUCAAACCAGAAGAGCAAGGACCAUCCCUUAUCUUCCAUUGACCGUGUUCAAUAAACUCAAGAUGACAAUCUCUUACUGACCUCUAGAAAUGAGUCCCAAUAAAAUUUAAAUUAGUUAUAUCCAAAAUCCCCUGUUUAGAGUGUUUUGCUCUAAAAAAUCUUGCCACAAUGAAUCUGAAGAUAUAAAAUGCCAAGCAAAAUUAAUGUGUACAACUCGUCAAACAUCAUAAAUUUUUUGUAUACCAAACUCCCCGCCAACAUAGGUUGACACAAUUUGUCCCACAAACAACAUUUUUUCGUCGUCCUCCCAAACGCAGAUUUGGGAAUACUCAACACCAAUAAUAAAUGAAAGGCUAUACUAGAAAGGACGUGACAAAGAAGCACUAACCUUUCCAACUUGUGACAGUAAAAGCAUCUUGCAACCAGCAAUUUUUUUUCCUGAAUUUUACCAACUAGAGACUCUAAAUGUCAAGUUGUCGCAGGAAAACGUAUCAACUUGAUAAUGAACAAUAAGAAUUGAAGAAGAAAGGGGUUCAAAAAGAAGAAUCUAGGGCGAGGAAAUAGUUUUA